rnacentral:lncRNA from 1 species
GGGUGGUGGCUGAUAUUUGUCUCUAUAUAUCAUUUGAAAUCGUAUAUCUAGCUAGAAUGUUAUAGAGUUUGAGUUAAAGAGUUCUUGGGGAUUUAAUAUAAUUUUUCUGUAAAGAUACUCGAGCAAAUUAUCUAUUUUGUCACGCUACGCGAGCAAAUGUGAGGGCUGCAGCUCUCGUACGGCGACUAGCUUUUUCCUUCCUUCUCCCUUUCACGCAUAUUAUAUUUAAAUUUUAAGUAAUAUUGAUAGAAAUACCAUGAUCAUAAAAGUUUGAACUCCGAGUAUUAACCUUCAUCAAAAAAAAAAAAAAAGUAAAAGAAAACUCCAAGUGUUAACUAACUACUAGAUUCUGAAAGCUUAACCAUGUCCAAUAAAUGUUACCCACUACAUUAAUUCUCACGUGCAGCAUGGACCACGGAUAUUAAGGUGCAAAAAAGUCAAGAACCACUCAAGACAUAAAACAAACCGGGAACAAGUCAAAAAAGAAAAUAUUCAAAAUAACAAACAGGUGGUAUAAAGAAAAAUUGGUAUUAAUGGGUUUUGAACUUAUGGCCUUUGUGUCUAACAUUAUUUUAACUUGUCAUUAAAUUAAAAAACCUAAAGAUCUUUCAAAUGAAGUGGGGUGACAACCUACUACUCCCUGGAAUCUUGUUUUCUUCCUUCCUGGCAUUCCCAUUUUUAAUAAAUACAAUUUUAUUGAUUCACCUUAAAAAAUACCAUUUCAUGUAUUUGUCAAGUCAAAAAAAAAAAGAAUCAGAAAAAUCUUCAAAUUAAAAUGAAAAAAGAAAAAUCAUUUGCUUAAUUAGGUGACACCCAUGCACCUAUAGUAUGUCUCAAGCAACUGAUAUCAUGCUGCAAGUUGGAGAAUCUACUCGAAUAUAUUACUCCUAGCUAGAACACAAGAAUAUCACUACAAUGUCUUAUCUAAUUCAAAGGAAUCGC